GCCUACGGGGGGCAGCAGUAGGGAAUCUUCCACAAUGGACGAAAGUCUGAUGGAGCAACGCCGCGCGAGUGAAGAAGGGUUUCGGCUCGUAAAGCUCUGUUGGUAGUGAAGAAAGAUAGAGGUAGUAACUGGCCUUUAUUUGACGGUAAUUACUUAGAAAGUCACGGCUAACUACGUGCCAGCAGCCGCGGUAAUACGUAGGUGGCAAGCGUUGUCCGGGUUUAUUGGGCGCAAAGCGAGGGCAGGCGGUUC
rnacentral:rRNA from 1 species